UACGGAGGGGGCUAGCGUUGUUCGGAAUUACUGGGCGUAAAGCGCACGUAGGCGGCUUUGUAAGUUAGAGGUGAAAGCCCAGGGCUUAACCCUGGAAUUGCCUUUAAGACUGCAUCGCUAGAAUCGUGGAGAGGUGAGUGGAAUUCCGAGUGUAGAGGUGAAAUUCGUAGAUAUUCGGAAGAACACCAGUGGCGAAGGCGGCUCACUGGACCGUUGUUGACGCUGAGGUGCGAAAGCGUGGGGAGCAAACAGG
rnacentral:rRNA from 1 species